rnacentral:rRNA from 1 species
UACGGGGGGGGUAAGCGUUGUUCGGAAUUACUGGGCAUAAAGCGCACGUAGGCGGCCAACUAAGUCAGAUGUGAAAAGCCCCCGGCUCAACCGGGGGAACAGCACCUGAUACCUGGUUGGCUCGAGCACAGUAGAGGCAGGUGGAAUUCCCGGUGUAGCGGUGGAAUGCGUAGAGAUCGGGAAGAACAUCAGUGGCGAAGGCGGCCUGCUGGGCUGUUGCUGACGCUGAGGCGCGACAGCGUGGGGAGCAAACAGG